UACGGAGGGUGCAAGCGUUAUCCGGAUUCACUGGGUUUAAAGGGUGCGUAGGUGGGUUGGUAAGUCCGUGGUGAAAUCUCCGAGCUUAACUCGGAAACUGCCGUGGAUACUAUCAAUCUUGAAUACUGUGGAGGUAAGCGGAAUAUGUCAUGUAGCGGUGAAAUGCUUAGAUAUGACAUAGAACACCGAUAGCGAAGGCAGCUUGCUACACAGUUAUUGACGCUGAGACGCGAAAGCGUGGGGAGCGAACAGG
rnacentral:rRNA from 1 species